rnacentral:lncRNA from 1 species
AUGCCAGAGGCUCUAUUUCCUAGCAUUUUACAGCUCCUAUAACUGUAGAAUGGUUGUAGGUCACAGGUAUAACCAAUGAAAACACAACCUAAGAUACAAAUCAGGAGCUACUGAUGCAAAGAAUGGGGACCAGGAGGAAGAGUUUCUUCGAGACCUGGUGGUUGAAGAGCAGUGGAUCAUUCUUGGCUGUGGUGGGAGAGGUGCUGAACGUUGUUCACGCUGGCUAUGUCAUGAGUGGAAUCUAUGGCGUCAAGGCUAGAGCUGGAGGGAAUGGGCUCCCCAUUGAGGUGAUGGACUUCAUCCCUGGUGCUAUUCAAGCAGUGGCUGUGGGCUUCCAGUCAGGGAUGCAGUGAAUGAGCCUCUUAUACCAGAGAAGGAUGGAUAGAGAAAAGCAUCAUUACAAAAGUGAAAUGUGUGAAUUUUAUUCUGGCUUUGAACAUUGAGUAGACGAAGAAGACAAUUCCAGACGGAGGAAACUCCACAAGAAAUAUCAUGGAAAUUUGAAAGAACACAGUGGGCUUGGGAAGAGACAUUAUUUGAAGAGAGUUUUCCCCUGAGGAAAGUGCUUCAGAGGAGAAAAUACACCAGAAAAAGACAAGGCCCUGCUCUGAGGAGUGAAGACACAAUCCAGCAGGCAGGAGGGAUGGCUAAGUUCAAAGUCUUGAGAAGUGCCCCUCAUGGACACCCCAGGGUGCCCAUCUCCAGGUUACCACCAGGUGCUUCCAAGACCAAGAUAACCAGGCAAUCAUAGUAGAUGCAUCAAUGCACCCUUGCCCAAGGGCCUAGACAAGAGGAGGAAGGAAAGGAGGAGCACGUGCACAAAGCUAAGGAGGUGAUUAACAACAUGAUACAGUAUUGUUUAGCUUCGCAUGAAUUUUAUCACCUUGCCUAGAACCAGCCACCAUCUGCCAGGGCUCCUGACUUUUUCUGAAAUGAAUAGACACUAAAGCCUGCUGGGGAAUUUCAUGGAAAUCAAGAUGACUCAACCCAGAGUCCAUUUCAAGGCUAGGAUGCUAGAGGACGCCAACAAAGGAGUAGGGAAGUGAAACGGAUCAGCUCACAUCCAAGCCCUUGCAUGAUCAAUCCUGCAGUAGGAGUGCUGCUCAGUUGGGACUCAUGAGAGCCCGGAAGAGGAAAAAGCAGCUCUAAGCAUAGCAAAGAAGCUGUUAUGGAAAAGACCCAAAUGUUAAAAUGGUGGACAUAGUAAAGUGAUUGGUUCUGCUUAGGGGAAUCUAGAUCCCCACAUUUUGACCUCCACUGGAGUCUCAGAAGAACAAGUGCCAGGGGGGCUUGCCACAGAGGCCAAGGCAGUGAAUGUCAGGCACAUCACAGUCCCCAAGAUGGGGAGAAGACUGAGAUGCAGGGUAACAACUGCAAUCCAUUCAUGGGAGCCAUGUUUAUCUUAAAUCAUUGACAGUGAGAUAAGGAUCAUGUCAGCCUUCAUACCUUUGAUGAUGAUCCCAGGCUGCAACAGUGACACAUAGAACUGGAUUCAGUAACUAACUACAGAUUCCAUCAACCAGGACUAGUAAAGUGAAAGGCAGAAAUUGGGAGGAGGGGUUUCUUUCUUGCUUAUAAAACUUUAUUUGGUUGUGUUGAGUAUGUGCAUGUAUGUAUGAAAUCCCAUAAAGCAGUCUUCUUAGGAACAAGCCAACAUGCCACAAUGUAGGAGAUCUUUGGAGCACUGGCCUAAAUGGCAGAGAGCUCAAGGGACUCUGCUUUGUACAAGGCAUGAUUUGUACCACCACCACUAUCCCUGUUUCAGAGCACUGUUGAAUUGUUCCAAACCUGGAUUUCUAUGUCAGCUCCCUGUCUAUAGUACUUGACUGAUAAAUGCUAGUUUCUGAAAUCUGCUUUGGUUCUAUAAUUUAUUAGACAGCUUUUUCUUCCCAUUUUAUUACUUGUUUUUACUGUCAUUGGUAUAUUAUCUCUUACAGUGAAAACAUUCAUAGGCUGAUUGAAGAGAAGAUCUGAAAUUAUUAGGCAGCAAGCAUACAAAACCCUUGCUUUAUAAAGAUAAUAUCUUAAAGGCCUAAUGUCUAUGGUUCAAAGCAGCCUGGAGAUGUUGGCUAAAUCUUCCAUCAUAGAGUCCUCAUGGGAUCUGGAAGCUCUGAUUUAUCUUCCU